UGGCGGCGUGGUUAAGACAUGCAAGUCGGACGAGAUUUUCCGUUGUAGCAAUACGAUGGAAAGUCUAGUGGCGAACGGGUGCUUAACACGUGGGCAACCUGCCAGGAAGUGGGGGAUAGCUCGCCGAAAGGCGAAUUAAUACCGCAUGUGAUUAGAGAGGACAUCCCUUCGAAAUUAAAGUCGGGGCAACCUGACGCUUCUUGUGGGGCCCGCGGCCUAUCAGCUAGUUGGUGGGGUAACGGCUCACCAAGGCUUUGACGGGUAGCCGGUCUGAGAGGACGACCAGCCACACUGGGACUGAGACACGGCCCAGACACCUACGGGUGGCAGCAGUCGAGAAUUUUUGACAAUGGGGGAAACCCUGAUCGAGCGACGCCGCGUGGAGGAUGAAGGUCUUCGGAUUGUAAACUCCUGUCAUUGGGGAACAAGGUGCAUACGUUAACUGCGUGUGCAUUGAUAGUACCCGAAGAGGAAGAGACGGCUAACUCUGUGCCAGCAGCCGCGGUAAUACAGAGGUCUCAAGCGUUGUUCGGAUUCAUUGGGCGUAAAGGGUGCGUAGGCGGCGCGGUAAGUCGGGUGUGAAAUCUCGGAGCUUAACUCCGAAACUGCAUUCGA
rnacentral:rRNA from 1 species